CAACAAUUCUGCAUCCAUAACAAUGAUUUUUCGGGGGGGGUUGUGUUUCUUCUCCAACAGAUGAAAGUGAUGAAUCAUCCUCAUCAUCCGAGGAGGAGAUUUCCUCAGAAGCAUGUCCUACACUGGUGACGGCAGAGGAGGAAGAUGAGCCUGAAAAUGAAGGUAGGAAUCUAUCAUGUUCUCUUUUGUUAAAAUUCCACAUUGAUUUGGAAAUAAUCUGCAGACACUUGUAUCUUUUUGCUUUCUAGAACAAUGUGGGGGAUAAUCUAGGCCUUGACAACAAUUCUGCAUCCAUAACAAUGAUUUUUCGGGGGGGGUUGUGUUUCUUCUCCAACAGAUGAAAGUGAUGAAUCAUCCUCAUCAUCCGAGGAGGAGAUUUCCUCAGAAGCAUGUCCUACACUGGUGACGGCAGAGGAGGAAGAUGAGCCUGAAAAUGAAGGUAGGAAUCUAUCAUGUUCUCUUUUGUUAAAAUUCCACAUUGAUUUGGAAAUAAUCUGCAGACACUUGUAUCUUUUUGCUUUCUAGAACAAUGUGGGGGAUAAUCUAGGCCUUGACAACAAUUCUGCAUCCAUAACAAUGAUUUUUCGGGGGGGGUUGUGUUUCUUCUCCAACAGAUGAAAGUGAUGAAUCAUCCUCAUCAUCCGAGGAGGAGAUUUCCUCAGAAGCAUGUCCUACACUGGUGACGGCAGAGGAGGAAGAUGAGCCUGAAAAUGAAGGUAGGAAUCUAUCAUGUUCUCUUUUGUUAAAAUUCCACAUUGAUUUGGAAAUAAUCUGCAGACACUUGUAUCUUUUUGCUUUCUAGAACAAUGUGGGGGAUAAUCUAGGCCUUGACAACAAUUCUGCAUCCAUAACAAUGAUUUUUCGGGGGGGGUUGUGUUUCUUCUCCAACAGAUGAAAGUGAUGAAUCAUCCUCAUCAUCCGAGGAGGAGAUUUCCUCAGAAGCAUGUCCUACACUGGUGACGGCAGAGGAGGAAGAUGAGCCUGAAAAUGAAGGUAGGAAUCUAUCAUGUUCUCUUUUGUUAAAAUUCCACAUUGAUUUGGAAAUAAUCUGCAGACACUUGUAUCUUUUUGCUUUCUAGAACAAUGUGGGGGAUAAUCUAGGCCUUGACAACAAUUCUGCAUCCAUAACAAUGAUUUUUCGGGGGGGGUUGUGUUUCUUCUCCAACAGAUGAAAGUGAUGAAUCAUCCUCAUCAUCCGAGGAGGAGAUUUCCUCAGAAGCAUGUCCUACACUGGUGACGGCAGAGGAGGAAGAUGAGCCUGAAAAUGAAGGUAGGAAUCUAUCAUGUUCUCUUUUGUUAAAAUUCCACAUUGAUUUGGAAAUAAUCUGCAGACACUUGUAUCUUUUUGCUUUCUAGAACAAUGUGGGGGAUAAUCUAGGCCUUGACAACAAUUCUGCAUCCAUAACAAUGAUUUUUCGGGGGGGGUUGUGUUUCUUCUCCAACAGAUGAAAGUGAUGAAUCAUCCUCAUCAUCCGAGGAGGAGAUUUCCUCAGAAGCAUGUCCUACACUGGUGACGGCAGAGGAGGAAGAUGAGCCUGAAAAUGAAGAUGACAGUGAUGCAUAUGCUACAUCAGCCCUAAGUCCGGAGGAGAGACAAGAGGAGGAGGCGGAAAGUGAAUCUGAAACAGACAGUGGCACUGAAUAUGCAGCCACAGCAGAGGAUGAGGUGGAAAAAAAAGAAACGGUUGAAAUAGGGACACAAACAGAGCCCUCAGUUACACAAUUCAGGGACCUUCGUCAGGCACUGCGAAAUUUUGUAGAGGCUGCAAGAGUACUAGAGCAUUCACUUCAAAAUCUUUAAGAAAUUCAUUGUAUAUAUUUUUCUUUGUUUUACAACAAUCAUUUUAUGAAUAAUUAAAAAUUUAUAUUUAUAA